rnacentral:rRNA from 1 species
GUGGGGAAUAUUGGACAAUGGGCGAAAGCCUGAUCCAGCCAUGCCGCGUGUGUGAAGAAGGUCUUCGGAUUGUAAAGCACUUUAAGUUGAGAGGAAGGGUAGUAACCUAAUACGUUGCUACUUUGACGUUACCGACAGAAUAAGCACCGGCUAACUUCGUGCCAGCAGCCGCGGUAAUACGAAGGGUGCAAGCGUUAAUCGGAAUUACUGGGCGUAAAGCGCGCGUAGGUGGUUCAGUAAGUUGGAAGUGAAAUCCCCGGGCUCAACCUGGGAACUGCUUUCAAAACUGCUGAGCUAGAGUACGGUAGAGGGUGGUGGAAUUUCCUGUGUAGCGGUGAAAUGCGUAGAUAUAGGAAGGAACACCAGUGGCGAAGGCGACCACCUGGACUGAUACUGACACUGAGGUGCGAAAGCGUGGGGAGCAAACAGGAUUAGAUACCCUUGUAGUCC